rnacentral:tRNA from 1 species
CGAAAUAGCUCAAUUGGUAGAGCAACUGACUUGUAAUCAGUAGGUUACGGGUUCAAGUCCUGUUUUCGGC